GGAGAGGUGCAGGAGUGGUUGAACUGGCUUGUCUCGAAAACAAGUGUGUAGCAAUGCACCGAGGGUUCGAAUCCCUCCCUCUCCGCCA
rnacentral:tRNA from 1 species